rnacentral:rRNA from 1 species
GAUGAACGCUAGCUACAGGCUUAACACAUGCAAGUCGAGGGGAAACGCCAUCGAAAGCUUGCUUUUGAUGGGCGUCGACCGGCGCACGGGUGAGUAACGCGUAUCCAACCUGCCCAUCACUUGGGGAUAACCUUGCGAAAGUAAGACUAAUACCCAAUGAUAUCUCUAGAAGACAUCUGAAAGGGAUUAAAGAUUUAUCGGUGAUGGAUGGGGAUGCGUCUGAUUAGCUUGUUGGCGGGGUAACGGCCCACCAAGGCAACGACCAGUAGGGGUUCUGAGAGGAAGGUCCCCCACAUUGGAACUGAGACACGGUCCAAACUCCUACGGGAGGCAGCAGUGAGGAAUAUUGGUCAAUGGGCGAGAGCCUGAACCAGCCAAGUAGCGUGCAGGAAGACGGCCCUAUGGGUUGUAAACUGCUUUUAGAAGGGAAUAAAGUGAGAGUCGUGACUCUUUUUGUAUGUACCUUAUGAAUAAGGACCGGCUAAUUCCGUG